rnacentral:rRNA from 1 species
CCUACGGGUGGCAGCAGUGGGGGAUAUUGCACAAUGGGGGAAACCCUGAUGCAGCGACGCCGCGUGGGCGAAGAAGUAUUUCGGUAUGUAAAGCCCUAUCAGCAGGGAAGAAGAAAUGACGGUACCUGAGUAAGAAGCACCGGCUAAAUACGUGCCAGAAGCCGCGGUAAUACGGAGGGUGCAGGCGUUAUCCGGAUGUACGGGGGGUAAAGGGAGCGCAGGCGGCACGGCAAGCCUGAUGUGAAAGCCCGCGGCCCAACCGGGGGACUGCAUUGGGAACUACCGGGCUGGAGUGGCGGAGAGGUAGGCGGAAUUCCUGGUGUAGCGGUGAAAUGCGUAGAUAGUAGGAGGAACACCAGUGGCGAAGGCGGCCUACUGGACGGUGACUGACGCUGAGGCUCGAAAGCGUGGGGAGCAAACAGGAUUAGAUACCCUUGUAGUC